rnacentral:misc_RNA from 1 species
UGCCGGGACCUUACGAUUUUCCGUCCUAUCGCUGCCGGACUUGGUCUGUCGCGACCAACAAGUGUCCGAUUCUGCCGUAUCGCGGCGUUGCCCGCACGGGCGUCUGCUUCGCCAUUGAACUGAUGAUGGAUGCCAUCGCCCGUGAGACCGGUCUCGAGCCUUAUGAGGUGCGGCUAAAAAACCUUGUGCAGCCGGAGCAGAUGCCGUUCGACAAUAUCACCAAGAAGCAUUUCGA